GAUGAACGCUGGCGGCGUGCUAAUACAUGCAAGUCGAGCGAACGGACGAGAAGCUUGCUUCUCUGAUGUUAGCGGCGGACGGGUGAGUAACACGUGGAUAACCUACCUAUAAGACUGGGAUAACUUCGGGAAACCGGAGCUAAUACCGGCUAAUAUUUUGAACCGCAUGGUUCCAAAGUGAAAGACGGUCUUGCUGUCACUUAUAGCUGGAUCCGCGCUGCAUUAGCUAGUUGGUAAGGUAACGGCUUACCAAGGCAACGAUGCAUAGCCGACCUGAGAGGGUGAUCGGCCACACUGGAACUGAGACACGGUCCAGACUCCUACGGGAGGCAGCAGUAGGGAAUCUUCCGCAAUGGGCGAAAGCCUGACGGAGCAACGCCGCGUGAGUGAUGAAGGUCUUCGGAUCGUAAAACUCUGUUAUUAGGGAAGAACAUAUGUGUAAGUAACUGUGCACAUCUUGACGGUACCUAAUCAGAAAGCCACGGCUAACUACGUG
rnacentral:rRNA from 1 species